rnacentral:rRNA from 1 species
UGCAAGUCGAGCGGACAGAAGGGAGCUUGCUCCCGGAUGUUAGCGGCGGACGGGUGAGUAACACGUGGGUAACCUGCCUGUAAGACUGGGAUAACUCCGGGAAACCGGAGCUAAUACCGGAUAGUUCCUUGAACCGCAUGGUUCAAGGAUGAAAGACGGUUUCGGCUGUCACUUGCAGAUGGACCCGCGGCGCAUUAGCUAGUUGGUGGGGUAAUGGCUCACCAAGGCGACGAUGCGUAGCCGACCUGAGAGGGUGAUCGGCCACACUGGGACUGAGACACGGCCCAGACUCCUACGGGAGGCAGCAGUAGGGAAUCUUCCGCAAUGGACGAAAGUCUGACGGAGCAACGCCGCGUGAGUGAUGAAGGUUUUCGGAUCGUAAAGCUCUGUUGUUAGGGAAGAACAAGUGCGAGAGUAACUGCUCGCACCUUGACGGUACCUAACCAGAAAGCCACGGCUAACUACGUGCCAGCAGCCGCGGUAAUACGUAGGUGGCAAGCGUUGUCCGGAAUUAUUGGGCGUAAAGGGCUCGCAGGCGGUUUCUUAAGUCUGAUGUGAAAGCCCCCGGCUCAACCGGGGAGGGUCAUUGGAAACUGGGAAACUUGAGUGCAGAAGAGGAGAGUGGAAUUCCACGUGUAGCGGUGAAAUGCGUAGAGAUGUGGAGGAACACCAGUGGCGAAGGCGACUCUCUGGUCUGUAACUGACGCUGAGGAGCGAAAGCGUGGGGAGCGAACAGGAUUAGAUACCCUGGUAGUCCACGCCGUAAACGAUGAGUGCUAAGUGUUAGGGGGUUUCCGCCCCUUAGUGCUGCAGCUAACGCAUUAAGCACUCCGCCUGGGGAGUACGGUCGCAAGACUGAAACUCAAAGGAAUUGACGGGGGCCCGCACAAGCGGUGGAGCAUGUGGUUUAAUUCGAAGCAACGCGAAGAACCUUACCAGGUCUUGACAUCCUCUGACAACCCUAGAGAUAGGGCUUUCCCUUCGGGGACAGAAUGACAGGUGGUGCAUGGUUGUCGUCACCUCCUGUCCUGAGAUGUUGGGUUAAUU